CUGACCCUCAGUGAGCCCCAGCCCCACCAACAAGUUGCAGUGGAAACAAAGGCAGUUCUUGCUUCAGAUUCUUCAGAGAUAGCAAUAUGUCAGGAGCCCCUGGAGAGGCUGAAAGUAAAUGAAUCAGUGCUAGAAAGUGAAGGAUAUCAUCCGUGCUGAAUGGUGAAAAGGAGUCCUGAACAGUAUCUUCAUUGAUUUUCCUGUAAUUGACACAGAGCUCAGCUCGCCGGAGGCUGCGGCAGGAGCAGGGAGGCCCAGGGCAGUGGGACAUGUUCCACAGUGACAUCCCAGCGGCCAGAGCCUCUACGCCCCCGGAGCAGAGCACGCAGCCGUGGUUUGACUCAGCUCCUGUGGACCCUCAGAGACAGCCAAGGAGAGCAGCAGAAGGAAUCUGGUGUAGAUGGAGGGUGACCGUUUCCAGCCUCCAUGUUCAGGAGCAAUGCUUUAUCCAAACCUCCAGUUUGGGAGAAAAAGCCCAAAGCACUGCAGGACUCCAGGAUUCUGUACCCCCCCUCCCAGAGCGGUGCUCCAGGAGCAGGUGAUGGCUCUGGACAACUGAGACCUACAGAAAAUCGACACUGAAAGGAGCAAUCACAGCAGCGUGGCUGCAGCUCUUCCCAUUUCCCCUGGCAAACCUUCCCCCGGGACUGUGUGCACCUGACCCUAAACCUUCCCCAUUUUCCAAGCCAAUGCACUUGAUGGGAACUCAUCUCUGCUCUCCCCACGGCUUCCCUGGCAUCCCCGGGGUGGGACACGGCCGCUUUCGGCUUGGCUGAACCCCCGACUCCAUUUCACAGAUUGCAUUUGGGCUCUGCUUCCAUUUGCUCCCAUUCCUUGCAGCUCAGCAGACACCUCACCUACGGAACACUCUGUGCUCCUCAGGAAGACAGGGAUUUAUUUCCCUCGGUCUCCCUGUGGAGAACAGACCUGUGCUGGACACACACCCCAGGAGGGCUGAGGAAACCCCUCUGGCACCCUGGGGCCGUCCCACUCCCCAUCUCUCCCUCCUGCCUCUGCCUCCUCCCAUGAGGCCACCAGCAGCAGCACCUUUGCUGCUUGCUCCUGGAAUAAAGUGCAUUUUUAACCCA
rnacentral:lncRNA from 1 species